GACGAACGCUGGCGGCGUGCUUAACACAUGCAAGUCGAACGAUGAAGCCGGAGCUUGCUCUGGUGAAUUAGUGGCGAACGGGUGAGUAACACGUGAGUAACCUGCCCUUGACUCUGGGAUAACUGCGGGAAACUGUAGCUAAUACCGGAUACGACCCUCGGAGGCAUCUCCUGGGGGUGGAAAGAAUUUCGGUCAAGGAUGGACUCGCGGCCUAUCAGCUAGUUGGUGAGGUAAAGGCUCACCAAGGCGACGACGGGUAGCCGGCCUGAGAGGGUGACCGGCCACACUGGGACUGAGACACGGGCCAGACUCCUACGGGAGGCAGCAGUGGAGAAUAUUGCACAAUGGGCGCAAGCCUGAUGCAGAAACGCCGCGUGAGAGAUGACGGCCUUCGGGUUGUAAACCUCUUUUAGCAGGGAAGAAGCGAAAGUGACGGUACCUGCAGAAAAAGCACCGGCUAACUACGUGCCAGCAGCCGCCGUAA
rnacentral:rRNA from 1 species